UACGUAGGGGGCAAGCGUUGUCCGGAAUUAUUGGGCGUAAAGAGCUCGUAGGCGGUGUGUCGCGUCGGCCGUGAAAACCUGGGGCUCAACUCUGGGCGUGCGGUCGAUACGGGCAUCACUGGAGUUCGGCAGGGGAGACUGGAAUUCCUGGUGUAGCGGUGAAAUGCGCAGAUAUCAGGAGGAACACCGGUGGCGAAGGCGGGUCUCUGGGCCGAUACUGACGCUGAGGAGCGAAAGCGUGGGGAGCGAACAGG
rnacentral:rRNA from 1 species